GGCCCGCCACGCGCUCCGCUGAACGGAAGAAGGCGUGGUGCUAAUAACGCCAAGGUCGUCGGUUCGAUCCCGGCGUUGGCCA
rnacentral:tRNA from 1 species